rnacentral:rRNA from 1 species
GGCCAGACUCCUACGGAGGCAGCAGUGGGGAAUAUUGCACAAUGGGGGGAACCCUGAUGCAGCGACGCCGCGUGAGUGAAGAAGUAUUUCGGUAUGUAAAGCUCUGUCAGCAGGGAAGAAGAAAGACGGUACCUGACCAAGAAGCCCCGGCUAACUACGUGCCAGCAGCCGCGGUAAUACGUAGGGGGCAAGCGUUAUCCGGAUUUACUGGGUGUAAAGGGGGCGCAGACGGCAGCGCAAGCCAGGAGUGAAAGCCCGGGGCCCAACCCCGGGACUGCUCUUGGAACUGCGCGGCUGGAGUGCAGGAGGGGCAGGCGGAAUUCCUGGUGUAGCGGUGAAAUGCGUAGAUAUUAGGAGGAACACCAGUGGCGAAGGCGGCUUACUGGACUGUAACUGACGUUGAGGCUCGAAAGCGUGGGGAGCAAACAGGAUUAGAUACCCCCGUAUC